rnacentral:piRNA from 1 species
UACAAAUGUUUUGCCUGCAUUUAAGUACGC